rnacentral:lncRNA from 1 species
GCCGAAACUGAGUCACAUCCGAAUUUUUUUUUUGUACCCGGAAUCGAACUCAGGAACUUGUGCUUGUCAGGCAGGUGACAGAACCACUGAGAUAAAUCCCCAGCCCACAUAUGCAUUUUUGAAUAAAUCAUGGUACCAUUUAUUUGACUCUCUUUAGAAUGAUAAAUCUUGGCCUUGGAGGUAAGGUCAUUUCUUCAAACUGAUAUUUGUUAAUUGCUGGGUAGCAUAAUGGCCCGGGCCACGCCCAUGGCACGGUGAGGUCUCAGAGGUGUCUUGCAGCCCCACCCCCACCUGACGCUCUCAAAGCUGCAGCGACCGGCUCCGUUGAGACAAGACAAGCAGCUUGGGGUUCCUGCGGCCGUCCCGGGCCAUGCCCACGGCACGGUUGUGUACUGAGUGUGAGUUGGGGGCAAUCAGCAGCCCAGGGGCUAUUUUACGUCCAGUGUGAGGAAAAGUUCAGUUGAAGAGAUCCUAGUAGAUGACCUCACUUCUUUAUGAUGACACUUUGCUCAGAACCCUGUUGCCAAGCAACACAUAGCACCACUGACUGAUGCCUGCUCACUUGUCUGGAGACACAGGACAUGUCCCACUCCAGGAUGAAAAGGAGUCAAGCCUGACUCUGGAUACUCAAGCUUGCUUAGAGCUUUUGAAGAUGGAUGUAAGGGAAUCCAUGGUCAACCAUCUUGUGCGAUCCUUGCUUCAAGGGAACUGUUUGUUCCUGCACAAGUUUUUGCAAAACUACCAAGAUUUGGGACCAUGCAGCAGGAGCUGGAUCUGCUGUUGAAAAGAUGUGAUAACCUCAUGGCCUCUACAUACAGCCAAAGCCUCCAUUACUCCAGCAAAAUCGGUGGGCCUCUGGAUUAACUGAAAAACCCAGGCAGCAGCACCAGUGCCAGGUCCAACUGGAGAGCGAGAGGCAGCUCCAGCAGCAGCCUCUAAGCCAGCAGUAGAUCCACCACCCAUUCUGGGGCAAGAGUUGGCUGCAGUGCCAGCUCCAUGGCCAGGUGCACCUAGAAAGCUACCUUGGGUUAUUCCAAAGAAGAAGCAGACUGGAACUGAGACUCUGGAGCUGGAGCCAGCCACAGCAGGCCCACUUCUACCAGUGGUGCCAUCCUGGCCUUCACCUAUGACCAUGAAAACCAGGGAUUCCACCUGGUUGCAGCAGGGCAAAAAGGCCAAGGAGCAGCUGCCGGCCUCCAUCUGCACCACUGUCAUUCAUCUCCCAAGUGUGUCAUCAGCACCGUCCUCAGGCACUACAUCAUGAAAGCCUCAGGCCAUGCCCAGGUGGUGGAGCACAGGGUCUCCAGGGACCCUCAGGAGUGCCAAAUUCUGAGGAACCGUGCCUCUCUCUCUGGGCUGUGAAUCAGCGUUAUCCAGUGCCUGAUGGAAACCUGGCAAGACUUCUCCAGGUGGCUGCACCUCUCCAUUGGAGCUCCAGGUGAACCAGCACCAUAAACUGGACAAAAUAUGUGCAGAACUUGUCUGUGAAGGUAGAAAUGUCUAGAAUGUAUUUUAUAAAGUUCCCC